rnacentral:rRNA from 1 species
UACGUAGGGUGCAAGCGUUAUCCGGAAUUAUUGGGCGUAAAGAGCUCGUAGGCGGUUUGUCGCGUCUGCCGUGAAAGUCCGGGGCUCAACUCCGGAUCUGCGGUGGGUACGGGCAGACUAGAGUGAUGUAGGGGAGACUGGAAUUCCUGGUGUAGCGGUGAAAUGCGCAGAUAUCAGGAGGAACACCGAUGGCGAAGGCAGGUCUCUGGGCAUUAACUGACGCUGAGGAGCGGAAGCGUGCGGAGCGAACAGG